CCCUUAGGUUCUUUACCCAGUCAGUAUUGUUUCUGUGUCUAUGUUAAGACACCACUAUGAUGGUGUCUCGUUUCAUGUUUGUUGGUUUAUUAAACAUAUCACCUGCUUCUCAACUCUCAGCAUCUUUGUUACAGAAUACUGACUCAAACAAUGGAAGCAGCAGGAAAACAGAAUAUCUCCCAGACAGUCGACGAGCAGGGAUACCUUCUUCGUCAACACCACGACCAGCUGGCACAACUGGAGACAGCUAUGGAAGAGGUUCUUCGCAGUGUGCAACAUCUUGAGCAUACCCGGGAGGUGUUUCAGUAAACUAGCAGAGGAUACUCUACAACCAGUCGACCCAGCACAACAGCCCAUUCAGCAACAAGCUCAGGCCAGUGGUUCCUGGUCCCCUAGCUGAUGCUGUCCCCCACGACACCCCUCCACCGCCCCCUGGACAUCAAGGGGGGUCCAGCCUAUGCCGUCAGAUCCCUACUGGACUCUCAACGUUGUGGGGGUUGUGGAGGACAAUCUGGAUCCCAACAUCAUCCUUGAUUUUCACUUUUGCCGCUGUGGCUAGAGCCGCGCGUCGGGUGUGGUACUGUCACAUCUACUCCCGCUCCUCCCCUCCGGCAUUCAACGUCACCGGUAUACUAACCACCGGUCCUGGCAUCCAUCAUUACGCACACCUGCACUUGAUGAGGCACACCUAGACUCCAUUACCCUAUAUCUGGCACUCCCUUAGGUUUUUUUUCCCAAGUCAGUAUUGUUUCUGUAUCUAUGUUAAGACGCCACUAUGAUGUUGUCUCGUUCCAUGUUCGUUGGUUUAUUAAACGUACCACCUGCUUCUCGA